rnacentral:lncRNA from 1 species
AUUUCUCAGCUGGCUGGCUAGAGACUAUAGUGCUUCAUGCACAAUGAGGGCUGUAUGCAGGCUGUGGAGAGCAGGAGUGGCCGGCCUGCCCCUUGUUCAUACAGAUUCUCCCUGAUGGAGCCUAGCCUGACAGUGACCUCGCAUCAUGCUAGCCAGCAGCUCUACUUGGCUCUGCAAGGAGAACGACGCCAGGUGGUUCUCACAAUGCGUCCAAGAGGAACUGAAUAUUACAUUGGAUGCCAGCCUCGACGUUGGCCUCAAGCUGGAGUUCGUUUGAGCCCAUGGCAGCAUCAGUGA